rnacentral:tRNA from 1 species
GGAUGGGUGUCUGAGUGGUUUAAAGUUUCAGUUUUGAAAACUGAUGUACGAAAGUACCGUGGGUUCGAAUCCCACUUCAUCCG